rnacentral:rRNA from 1 species
AUUGAACGCUGGCGGCAGGCCUAACACAUGCAAGUCGAGCGGAGCGGCGGACGGGUGAGUAAUGCCUAGGAAUCUGCCUGGUAGUGGGGGAUAACGUCCGGAAAAGGGCGCUAAUACAGCAUACUAUCAGAUGAGCCUAGGUCGGAUUAGCUAGUUGGGUGGGUAAAGGACUACCAAGGAGACGAUCCGUAACUGGCCGGCGAGGAGGGGAAGUCAAGCUUGAGCUGAGACACGGUCCCGACUCCUACGGACGGCAGCAGUGGGGAAUAUUGGACAAUGGGCGAAAUCCUGAUCCAGCCAUGCCGCGUGUGUGAAGAAGGUUUUCGGAUUGUAAAGCACUUUAAGUUGGGAGGCGUUACCAACAGAAUAAGCACCGGCUAACUUCGUGCCAGCAGCCGCGGUAAUAC